CUAGAUCUUGGCAAAAAGUGUCAUCUAAGAUGAAUGUGACUCAGCUGGAUGUGCUCUCUGCAGUUAAGUGAGUGAUGGGGAAUUCAGGCAAGAGUUCAUCUGCAGAGAUAUUUGAUCCAGAACAACAAUCUCUCCUUCACUGGCUUUCAAAUUAUAAACUCGCAGCAGAAUCUUGGAAGAUGUUGUCUCAGGGUACAGUGGUAAUGCUGCCCCUGUUUUUCAGCAGAGAUCCAGUCAUUAAACAUUUACAAGUAUAUCAGGAGGGAAUUUCAUCCAAUUCAACUCAAUUGAAUUAG
rnacentral:lncRNA from 1 species